GUGCCAGCAGCCGCGGUAAUACCGGCAGCUCGAGUGAUGGCCAAUCUUAUUGGGCCUAAAGCGUCCGUAGCUGGCCGCGCAAGUCCAUCGGGAAAUCCACCGCCCAACGGGUGGGCGUCCGGUGGAAACUGCGUGGCUUGGGACCGGAAGGCGCGACGGGUACGUCCGGGGUAGGAGUGAAAUCCCGUAAUCCUGGACGGACCGCCGAUGGCGAAAGCACGUCGCGAGAACGGAUCCGACAGUGAGGGACGAAAGCCAGGGUCUCGAACCGGAUUAGAAACCCCGGUAGUCC
rnacentral:rRNA from 1 species